rnacentral:lncRNA from 1 species
GGAGAGCAGGACUUCAGCUGCACCUGCAGAAACCCCCAUGCACAGCCACACCUACGCAGCUUUUCACUGCACGAUGGAUGGGAUGGAGCUGCAAAACCCAUGACCUGUUGUCUUUGGGGGCCAGACACAAACAUGGGAGGCAGAGUCUGCAGAGAUGAAGACAGAAAACUCUGCAAAUCCAGUUCUUGAGACUCCAGGUUUUGACUAUCAAAGGGCAGGAAAAUGUGCCAAACUUCCCCUGUUAAGGACACCAGCUGGUAAAGUCCCCCUGCCUGGAGCAGUUGAGAGAUUCCAGUCCAAGGGCCUGAUCCUUGCACAGGGAGUUGCUGCCCCUUCCAGAACUCCUUGGAAACAGUAGGAAACUCUGUGGUUGUGA